AAUUUAUUUAUUUAUUUAUUUAUUCAUUUAUUUAUUUAUUCAUUUAUUCAUUUAUUCAUGAGAGACACAGAGAGAGAAGUAGAGAGACCCAGGCAGAGGGAGAAGAAGGCUCCAUGCAGGGAGCCUGAUGUGGGACUCGAUCCCGGGUCUCCAGGAUCAGCUGCUGGGCCAAAGGCAGGUGCUAAACCGAUGAGCCACCCAGGGAUCCCCUACUAUGUUUUUAAAGGUAAGACCAAAACCUAGGCAUAUGUAAGUAAAUACACAAACUAACAAACAAUAUGCCCAUGAAAUAGUUAAGCAAAUACGAGCCACUCUAUAACAUGAAUAUCAACCUUAGUUCUCAGAGACUAAGCUAGACUAUUUAGUAAGUUCCAAGUUGUGUCACUGAGUUUUGAAUGUAGCCACUAUUAAAUGUUCUGAUCAUAAAAAAUAAUCUGUUUUCAAUAGCUUUUCAGCAUAAAUAUCUCAUUUCAUCAUCCAAACCAACCUAUGUAACCUAAUGGCCAUUUUAGGAAAUCCAAAUAUUGUUUAUUCAUAAAAGACAUCUCAAUAGGAAUUUUUUUUUUAUUUUGACUAUAGGGUCUGAAUUUGGGAUCGACAAAAUCAAGAAUAUUUUUAAGAAGACAAACUAUAAGUCAGAAAUAUUUAAAGAUAAAUAUUUACAGGCAACAUUUUCAAAAUACACAGCAAUAAACAACAAUGGUUAUUAGAAACAAUUGUUUUUAAGAAACGAUUUUCUCUCAAAUAAAUAAAAAUCUUUAAAAAAAAUUAUUGCCUUUAAGGAGAUAAUAUUAGAGAUGAAAGGAGCAAACCUUUACAACCAAAACAACUAUCCAAAAUGUACAUGUCUACUAAAAACAGUCAGGCCUUAGGAGCUGGAAAAUCUUUGCCAAACAUAAUGUGGAAAUUAGAAAGAAACAGACACAAGUUGAAGUAACAGGAUAGUCAGGAAAAGGCCAAUUGGCUCUUUCCGAAGAUACCCGGCAGGUGUUCUGACAUUCUCUUAUGAAACUUCAGGAUCUGCCUUUAGUUUUAUAAAGUUAGACAUGAGUCUUGGCAUCAAGUAUGGAUCCAACCAUCAGAGUGGCACACACAGAUUCUAAGACUGAUCAAUAAAAUCAGAACGCAGUGCCAUUUUAUUCACUAAGGACGGGAGAUAGAACUGUUGUUGGGCCUUCAUGACUUUGUGAAAAACGUUUUCCACUAGUUCAAACAGUGCCAGACACAUAAAUUGUAAACAAAAAGAACACAGAAAACAGGGUGUCUGGUUAUUUUCCCAACAGAGAUACCAUAAUCAAGGCUCUAGACUUGGGUUCUCUUCCACCCAAGGAACACCUCAGUGGACAUGACAAGGACCACUUCUCUUUCUGCUACCUCUGCCAAGUGGUCAUUCUUUAAAUAUGUUAGUUCCUUCCAGACAAUUUACUCCUUUUCAAAUUAUGAAAUAUCUCAAACGCACAGAAUAUAAUCAGGAUUCUGGGCAUCUGAGUGGCUCAGUCGGUUAAGUGUCUGCCUUCGGCUCAGGUCAUGAUCCCAGGGUCCUGGGAUCCAGCCCCACAUUGGGCUCCCUGCUCAGUGGGGAGCCUGCUUCUCCCUCUGCUGGAGCGCUCUCUCUCUCUCUCUCUCUCUCUCUCUCUCUCUCGUGCACUCUCUCAAAUUAAUAAAUAAAAUCUUUAAGAAAAUAAAACAAGGAUUCCAUAUACCACACAUUCUAGGUGCUAUCUGUAUCAGACUUCUUUUUAAAGAAAUAAAACAAUAUAAAUAGAACUAAAGCUCCAUUCCUCUAUCUUCCUCUCAUCACCACCACCUUUUUCUUCCCAGAAUAAAGAACUAUCCUGAUGUAAACAUGAAUCACCCCAUGCAUUUAUGACUAUAUCCACAGUAGUGUCAUUUCAUAAAUAGCACUACAUUAUACAUAUCUAUUUGUAGGUUCUGGUUAUCUCUCAACAUACUUUUUUAAGAUAUGACCACGUUGAUAUAUGUAGCACUGCAUUUGGUACAGCACGCUAUAGCAGAGAGUAGAUUUUUAUCAUUUUAUGUAUGUAUGUAUUUUAUUAUUUGUGUGUAAGACAAACACCUUUAUUAUUUGUUUCUGUGUAAGACACAGAGCUCACAGGGCCAAAAUCUAAGGGUAGGCAGGGCUGUGUUCCUUUUUGGAGACUCUAGAAGCAAAUCUGUUUCCUUGCUCAUAUGGGUUAUUGUCAGGAUUCUUCUGUUCCUUGCAGUUGUAGGUCUGACAUCCCCAUUUCACUGCUUUCCUCUAAGAGUUGUUCCCAGCUUCUUUUUUUAAAAAGAUUUUAUUUAUGUAUAUGAGAGAGAGAGAGAGAGCAUGCAGGGGGUGGGGGCAGGAGUAGAGAGUGACAAGCAGACUCCACUCUGAGCAUGGAGCUAACACGGGGCUUGACCCCAGGACCCUGAGAUCAUGACCUGAGCUGAAAUCAAGAGUCUGACGCCUAACCAACUGAGCCACCCCGGCGCCCCGAGUUGUUCCCAGCUUCUAAGGUCCAGCUACACUUCUUGUCUCAUGGUCCACUUCUUCCAUAUUCAAAGCCAGCAAGGAUGAGGAGAAGCCCUCUGAAAAUUUCAAUCUCUCCUGCCUCUCCUCCAAAUGAUACAAAGCAAUCUCUUGAUCUUCAGGUCAAGAUCAAGAAUUCCAUCUUUAAUUUAUUUAAAUUCCAUCUGUAAUCUCAAUUUCCUUUAACCAUCUAUGCAUUAUAUUCACAGGCAUGAUAUUGGGUUUAGACUGAGGGAGGCAAAAUCUGCCUGCCACACUGCUAAUGCCUCAGAAUUUCUUGUUUUGUCACCCAGCAAGCAUAAGGGAAGGUACUUUCUCUGAUGGGAAGCUUCGUGACCCUUAUAUAGUUAUAAGUAGGUCAUGACCCUUCUAUAGCCAUAAGUAGGUUUGUACGAAAGUGAAUAUAAUUGACUUUUCCAAAACAAAGGCCAUACCAGUUUGUUUAUCUCAGGGUGACAGUUUCAUAAUGGAUUAGAGAGAAAAGAUGUCCUGGAGAAACUGCUCUAAACUCUGAGGAGGGUCAUCACCUUUGCCUGUAAGUAUAUCUUCCAUUUGGAUGCAAAUGCUUGUAUUCUUGGGGUUCUUUUUCAAAUAUUCAAACACUAAAAUGUCCUUUACAUUUUCUCCUGAGGAAUCGACCAGUGUACAGUUCUGUACCCAUGCCCGUUAUGACCGUCUUUGAUUUGUUGACCAAUGUGGCUUACGUCAUCCACUUAUGCUGUCUCUCCUGAGUGGUGAUGCUGUGGCUGUGACACUUGGUAACAAGAUCCUAAGCCAUGUUCGGAGACUCAUUCCUACUACAGUGGCCGUGGCUUGUGCCAGCGAACUGAACUCCUCAACCAUUAUAACAUCCAGGUAAGAAAAUCACAUGUGCUGUGGGUGGUUUAUGUUUUCAAAGCUCAGCUAAGGGAAAUCAAUACCAACUUAUGUUUAAUGAACAACAGCCAAGCCUUCUGAUUAUCUCUUGGUCUUGUUUUUACCAUGAGCCUAUUGCAGGGAUUUCAAAUGCUAAAACAGAGAUUUUGUUUGGUCACGUGGGUCUUUCACUGGUUAAUGCAUAAUUGGAGCCCAUUUUAAAUGAACUCUAAAAAAGAGUCCAUCCUUUCCAGGAUGUGGGAAAGCAGAGUUUGCAUUUGUUUAGUAACAUCACAUACUACAAAUAGUUGUCAGUCAGGAUAAUUGCAAAACAAAGUAAAAUGUGGAAAAGUGCUGAGUGAAUGAAUCCACAGGGAGAAGAGCCAACUGGUGAACGCAGCAAAACAAGCUGUAAAAAAAAAAAAAAUCAAUGCCAAUACACACCGGCUCACCCAGUGUACUUAAAAUCAGAUUGGCCACCUGAGCUGCCCUACAGCUGGCUAGAGCAAUGGUGGGCCAUCGGAAAGCUGCUCAGCAAAGUAAUUGCAAAGAGAGAAGAAGAGAUGAGGGUGUAGGUGUGUUGGAAGGAGAUUUGGGGAAAGUGUUUCUAAUUUGGGAUGGUGAGUAGGAAGGCUGGAGCAGUUCCCACCAUCAUUGGAGUCUCGCCUAUUUUUACUGAAAUGAUACUAACAAAUUAGUUAUGCUAAUUUUAUCUCAUUUGCUAUAAGAAACCUGUGAAAUUGUUGCCCAUGAUGGUAUCAUCAUCCUUCUCUUCCAGUUGAAUAAACCAGCUCAUUCAAAGUGACCUAACAGAUUCAUCCAAGGUCAUAUCAGUGAACAGUAGAGCUCAGGACUCACAACUCCUGACUCCAGUCCUAAUGGCUUUCCCAUCUGCUUGCCUCCUCUUCCUACUAAUGACUGAGACCUGCUUCUGUCCGGUGAGAGAUAGGAUUUGGCUCCCAUUUUUUUUUUUUUUUUUUUGCUCCCAUUUUUUCAUUUUCUCUUGAUUGUCUUAUUUAACAGUUGCACUAAAUCUCAGUGGGCAGCACUUGGUCCUAUCUGCUCUUUUCCCAUCCUUUUUCUUACUUCUAAUAAGCAACUAAAAAAAAAGAAAAAUAGCAAGUACAAGGGGAUUUCCAGUUCUUUUAUCUGGUUCCUAUUUGGUCUUUGAUUUUUCAGAAAAAAAAAAAAAAAACCUCUUAUGUGUACCAUCUCUUUUGCUUGUCCUCCACAGUUACAUUAGAAAUAUCAGGGAUCCCUGGGUGGCGCAGAGGUUUAGCGCCUGCCUUUGGCCCAGGGCACGAUCCUGGAGACCCGGAAUCGAAUCCCACGUCAGGCUCCCGGUGCAUGGAGCCUGCUUCUCCCUCUGCCUAUGUCUCUGCCUCUCUCUCUCUCUCUCUCUCUCUCUCUGUGUGUGUGACUAUCAUAAAUAAAUAAAAAUCAAAAAAAAAAAAAAAAA
rnacentral:lncRNA from 1 species